rnacentral:rRNA from 1 species
UACGUAGGGUGCAAGCGUUGUCCGGAAUUAUUGGGCGUAAAGAGCUCGUAGGCGGUCUGUCGCGUCUGCUGUGAAAUCCCGGGGCUCAACCCCGGGCUUGCAGUGGAUACGGGCAGACUAGAGUUCGGUAGGGGAGACUGGAAUUCCUGGUGUAGCGGUGAAAUGCGCAGAUAUCAGGAGGAACACCGGUGGCGAAGGCGGAUCUCUGGGCCAUUACUGACGCUGAGGAGCGAAAGCGUGGGGAGCGAACAGG